GGACUGGACAGUGGCAGAUUUUAGUGUUUAGAAAAAGUUACAAAUAAUGGUUAUAAUGUGAGACAGAAGGCUUAUUUGUAAUGUAGUAGCAUCUGUGAGGCCCAGAUCAUAUCGCCAUUGAGGUAGGUGUAUGGUCAUGUAACGCAGUUCCUGCCCUGAAGAGUUUAUAAUCCAAGUACUAAGAGUCUGAAUAAAGUUUGGAACAUCCAUAUAGGAGAGAUGAGAAGUAGAAUAAGAGAGGGUCAGGAUGAAAGGAAUGGAAGUGUGUGCUAUCUUAAACGAUUACUUGAAAUUGGCAUUUUUGGUGCCCAUUUGGCUUAUUAGCUACAUAAUACAGAGUGAUUCAUAAAGGCCCAUGCGUAAAUAUUGACGAUAUCAGACUUUUGGAAACUAAGUGUAAAUUUGGUCAUCCUAGUAUUCAGACACUUGCCAUAGAAGUCAUUUUGCAUUUCAUCUACACUGAAAAGCUAUCUAACUUUAAAGCUGCUUAGUCAAACGUCUGGUUUUUCUUUUUUCAUUGAGUAUUGUAAUGAGUCAGAAACAUAUGCCAAAUACUCUGUUGUUUAGUUUGCUCUCCAUGUAACUUUGGAUUGCUGUUGACUGCUUUGUCACACUUGAUAACUGAACUUUACCUCAACCACUCCACUGGAAUGUGUUGGUGCAUUCAGACUUCUUAGAGUCAAGCUGUAGGUUGUCCUCAGAUUCCAAUUUCAAAUCUCCAGUGCACUCUUUUAAAAAUAUGACCUCUAACUCAAGAGAUACAAGCACAAAAGGAUUCCAGGCAACAAUUGACCAGUUAAGUAUUUAUUUAUUUAACUAAACAUGUAGAAUUAUAACUAUGCUGGUAAUAGUUCCUUCACAGUUAGACUUCUAUUUAGCUAAAGACUAGCUUUAAAGGCUGCUUUCUCUUUUUCAGGGAACUGCAUUGAAAUCUUCUGGAUUUCAUUGAGCAUGCUGAGGAACAGUCAAGGCAAAGUCAUGUAAAUUGUUACACCUUUGACAACUUAUUGUAUUGAAGUGAAGAGGUGUCAAUGAGGAUUGAGAUCUGGAUUCAUUUAAAGCCUUGCCUGUAGGCUAUGAGGAGUAGCAUUUCCUUGAACAGUGCUGAGGAAGUCUCUCUGAAGAUUCCCUCCCACACCCUGAGCUGACCCAUAUCUUAGCUGGGCUUGAAGCCAAAGUUCUUGUCACUGAAGAAUGCUUUGCUAAAACCUCUCACUUCAUAGCAGUAUGGAGAGGGAGAGAAGUGUGUGGUGGUGUUGCUGCUGAAAUCUUAUCCCAAAGCAGAUUCAGAGGCAUUUGGGCAGCGAUGGCCAUGGCUGUUGUCGACUUAAAUUGUUGGGUGGGUAUUUUUGGGUGUGGGGAUAUAUAUUUACUGUGGCAUACAAUCAAACCCAUUGCCCUUUGAUUAGGUGUAUCUUGCACCCUAGUCUCCUCCCCCGAACUUGUUUCCCCCCUCACUUUUUCUGUCCUUUAAAGCUGGGAAAAUAUGUAGUGUUCUAUGUCACAUUACUAUACUUUGUAGCUUUGUGGAAAAGGAAGUUUUGCUGUCACCAUUGAGUGAAAUAUGCUGUAUAGUAUGACUGAGUGAUUACUUUAUUUUACAAUUGUAAAGA